UUCCCGAGGCUACUAUUCCAUUUGGCUCAUCUGUAGUCCUGAAGACGGCAUUGUUCAUCUUUUUCCCGAGGCUACUAUUCCAUUUGGCUCAUCUGUAGUCCUGAAGACGGCAUUGUUCAUCUUUUUCCCGAGGCUACUAUUCCAUUUGGUAUGUGUACC